UGCGGAGGAUGCGAGCGUUAUCCGGAUUUAUUGGGUUUAAAGGGUGCGUAGGCGGCUUGUUAAGCGUGAGGUGAAAUGCCGGGGCUCAACCUCGGAACUGCCUCGCGAACUGGCUGGCUUGUGUGCUCCUGCCGUGGGAGGAAUGUGUGGUGUAGCGGUGAAAUGCAUAGGGAUCACACAGAACACCGAUUGCGAAGGCAUCUCACGAAGGGGUGAUUGACGCUGAGGCACGAAAGCGUGGGGAUCAAAC
rnacentral:rRNA from 1 species